GAUGAACGCUGGCGGCGUGCCUAAUACAUGCAAGUCGAGCGAACGGACGAGAAGCUUGCUUCUCUGGUGUUAGCGGCGGACGGGUGAGUAACACGUGGAUAACCUACCUAUAAGACUGGGAUAACUUCGGGAAACCGGAGCUAAUACCGGAUGAUAUUUUGAACCGCAUGGUUCAAUAGUGAAAGACGGUCUUGCUGUCACUUAUAGAUGGAUCCGCGCUGCAUUAGCUAGUUGGUAAGGUAACGGCUUACCAAGGCAACGAUGCAUAGCCGACCUGAGAGGGUGAUCGGCCACACUGGAACUUAGACACGGUCCAGACUCCUACGGGAGGCAGCAGUAGGGAAUCUUCCGCAAUGGGCGAAAGCCUGACGGAGCAACGCCGCGUGAGUGAUGAAGGUCUUCGGAUCGUAAAACUCUGUUAUUAGGGAAGAACAUAUGUGUAAGUAACUGUGCACAUCUUGACGGUACCUAAUCAGAAAGCCACGGCUAACUACGUG
rnacentral:rRNA from 1 species